AGGAAAGCGUUUACCUGCUGCGACGAGACUGCCAAAGGCCCAUCCUGAAACCUGGCACACAAAAAUGGAUCCAGUCCAGACUGAAUAACUGGCCUCCCCUCUAGUCAGCAUCCCCAGAGACAUGUCAAGGACGCAGUCCACAGAAGGAACUGACAAAUAUUUUCUGGCUUGCACAGAAGUGCUGGGAUCUACCAUCAUCUCAUCUUCCUGGAGGCUGCACUGAGACUCUGUGAUAGCAGACAUCCUGGAACGGCCACGCACAGCUUUGGAAACAGGAAUCCAGGGACACUCAGACACUUGCAAUUGAUGGAGUGCUCACAAAGUGCAGAACAGUGAGGAAUAAGGUGUGGUUAAAAGGACCUUUUCCAAUAACAAAGUGCAGGACAAAGCAGUGCAGGUGGG